AACACCACUCACCGCAAACUCUUGGGCCGCUCUUUUACCAAUGAAAAGUGGGAUUGAACGUCACAUUAUAGCGCCCCUACGGCUCAAAGGACAAGCAUUUUGGGGACAGGAUUCGAACCUGCAACCGCACAUUGCUAGUGGAGUGUCAUAACCACCAGGUCAUGCCAGGUCUAAAUUAUCGUCUACAUCGAUUUUGCUGUGGGCUAGUUGGAUGUUCAGCAAAAGUCCACAUUGUGCAAGAUCUUCGGAUACGCUUGACCGAAUUGACCUGGAGAUUCCGGCACGUGACUACUGGUUUCCAUUGUAUUGUUCGAAAAAUCAAAUAUCAGCGAACUCUGUAAGAAAUAAAGGAAAAUAAACAAUCUACCUAA